ensembl:lincRNA
UUGAACUGUGUAACUGAGUAGUGGAGAAUAUCUGUGUUACCUAAGCCUCUGUGCAGUCCUGUGGAUGCCACCACGGUCACCUGUGCGGGUCAUGUGGCCACCGGGGCACUGAAGCCCAAGGCCAGUGUGGUUCAGGCAGCACCUAAGAGCAGCAGUCAAGGACCUCAGCCCCUUCCAAGCCUUGCUCCCUUCAUCAGGGCAUGCACCCUUGUGUGGAGGGGACCCGGGCUCAGCUUCCCCUCAUGCUCAGCCAGGGCCAGGAACCUGACUCUGAAAGCAGUGACCAGGAAACUAAAUGACCAAAGAGUUUACAUGGAAGGUGACUUCCAUUUCUAUAGUUAGCCUAUAUAGUAUUGUUAGGUGUUUUUAAGUAUAAUUCUGAGCAUGGUAGAUCUUGCAUGUGGUUUCCUGAGUAAGAGCCUGCUGACUUUCAGGCAGUGCAACUACAGUGAGGAUGAGGUCCAGGGCCUCCAGCAGCUCUUUUGGAAGACGGCAUCUGAGAAGGGCAGGAGAGUCACAUAGCCAGGAGUGGGAGCGGAGCAGUCUUCACAGGCAAGCAGCCCGCACAGGCAAGCAGCCCUCAGGCAGCUCCUGGGUAGAAGGGUGAGUGACCUGUUGUCCCGGCAGCCAGGCAGUUGCCAGGGAAGCUCUGCUGUGACAAACACGGGUAGGAGUGUGGAGCCUGCGGUGAGUCCUGCAACCCCAGGCCGGGCAGAUGGAGCCAGGCAAGGAGAAUCCAGGCAGUGGCGGCCCGGUCUGGACAUGGCAGCUGGUCCCCACCCUCACCUGAAGAGUGUGCUUCCUUCUUUCCUGAGCAGCCGCCCUCCACACAGCUCUCAGGAGCAGCUUUGUUUCCCAGCUACCACCAGACCCCAAGCCGACCACCUUCUCUGCCUGGGUUUGAAGCCUGCGCCGCGAGAGUUGCCCGCUUCCGCGCGCCACGCCUCGCCCCAGCCGGGCCGCCUGCGGUCGCCUCCGCGGUCCAGCGUCUACCUGAUUAUAGGGUUGCAAAAUGAGUUGACCAAAUGUGGGAUCUUGAAGAACAUGAGUGACUAUGAAGAUUUUUGGAAGUUGAUUCGGGAGGAAGCCCAUGGAACAGAAAUCAAAGAAAAACUCCAGAAGAUAAAAGUUAAAAUGUUGGAUCCCAGAUACUGGCCUCUGGCAGCUCCUAGAAGAAGAGAAACCAGGUCAUUGGUCAAUGCUGAUCAGGAUAAGUGGCCCUGCCAGGGAAAAUGGAUUCAGACAUCUUCUCUGGAGCCAGUACCCUGUCCAUCUCAAACACAAGAAGAAUUUCAGCAGCUACUUCCCAGGGACCUUCUUUCCCGACUUACUGAGUGGAGGAAGAGGUGCCAACAGCGAGAGACUGCGGCAAGACUACCCCAAGGACAGGGGCGGGUGAGUGUUUAGGGCUUGACAAUUCGACAGUCCUGGAGCUCUGUCUCUAGACAUCUACUUGCUCUCUCUCUUUUGUUUGUUUUUGUGUGUGUUUGUGGUACUAAAGAUCUAACACAGGGCCUUCACACUGAACUAAAUCUCCAAACCCCCCUGUACUUGCCAGGCAGGCACUGUGCCACUGAGCUAUAUCCCCAGCCCCUCCAACCCUUUCUAAAAUUUUAAAAUUUUAUGUUAAGACAUGAUCUUACUAAGUCACUAAGUUGCUGGGUUUGAACU